UUCUAUGCUGCACUCAAACUUGGGUAUAGGGCCUCACUCAUGAUAUGUACAAUAAUAAUAAUGAGAAUAAAAGCAUAUAAAUCAAUUACAAAAAUAAAUAAAGACAAUCAUACAUAUAAAUAAAAGGGAAAUAAAAUAAAAUAAAACAAAAUAAAAGCAAAAUAAAAUAAAAUAAAAUAAAGAAAAACCACAACAAUUUUUCACAUUUAAUUAAGAAGGUCUGAUUCUCUAGCUUCCCCAGUGGAGUCGCUAGCUGUCGC
rnacentral:lncRNA from 1 species